rnacentral:rRNA from 1 species
UACGAAGGGUGCAAGCGUUGUUCGGAAUUAUUGGGCGUAAAGAGCGCGUAGGCUGCUCGUUAAGUCACUUGUGAAAUCCCUCGGCUCAACCGAGGAACUGCAAGUGAUACUGGCGGGCUAGAGUGUCGGAGGGGAUAGUGGAAUUUCCAGUGUAGGGGUGAAAUCCGUAGAUAUUGGAAGGAACACCUGUGGCGAAGGCGACUAUCUGGACGAUUACUGACGCUGAGGCGCGAAAGCAUGGGUAGCAAACAGG